CUCCCUUCUCUAACAUUCAUCAUGGUUUCUGUGGCACUGAGGCUGUUCAUCUUCUGCCUGUUUCAUCUGUGUGUUCAAGGCAAUCAGGUGCCAGUGAACACUGAGCAUCUUGCUCAAAUGAUCCGGUAUUUUGAUGAUAAGUUACAGCCAGGUGGAUAUCAUCAGUAUUCUGUACUCAUUAGGGUCCCAUAUCAACACUGCACAGAUACAUUUAGUCUUGAUUUGGUAUUUCAACACGAAUGAAAUAAAAACAGCCUUCAAUGAUUUCAAGACCAGUAAAGAAAGAAGGUUAUAUGAAGUCACCAAAGACUCAGUCAGUCUCACUGCCACAAAGCCGAGUUGAGAUUCUACCAGUUCUUCUAAAGAAAAUGACCAUGCUGAGUAUAUUCUUAUCUAUUCUAGAGAUGCUGCACAUUCUAAAUCUCCCCUGCAGAAAAUUUUGGACAUGAUAAAUGAUGAUCAGUGUGUUGUUUUGUAUACUUACAACUCACCUUGCAUAACAAAAUGCAUUAACGAUGAAGAGGACAGUAUUUUAUAUGGCCUUUCAAACUGGAAAAACACACAGACAACUGGGAUUAAAGCUUUAGUUUUCCAAGAGAUCUGGCCCAAUGAUUCGACUGGUUUGCCAGAGGAUCAGGAAGAGCAAUUUACAAAGAUUAAUAAUCGAGUGCCUCUCUAUCGAUGUGUAAAGAAUAAUAAUCAAAUUAUGCAAUGUAUUAAGUGUGGAGAUUCUGGUGGGGAGAAGUUACAAAAAAAAUGUGUGUCUUAAAAAAAACAUUUUACGUUAGUAAUUGUACUGUUGUUGUAUGUAAAUGAAUGAAUUUCACAUUAUUGUAUGUUUAGCAUCUAAAUUAAACAUUUUUUAAUCCAUAACCAAAAAUUCAACAAUCAGGCAUGCAAACAACUUAACAUUAACAAGACCAGACCACUGAAGAGUGCACAAGAAGGAACUUAAAUACACAAUUUGCGAUUAACUAAAUGAUGAGCAGCUGUGAAGAUUAGUGUCCACGGUAACAGAUAAGUGGUGGGAAACUGGAACAA